CUCCAUCCUUCUUUAUUUAGAGAUUAGAAAUUAAUUCUCAUUCACGUAUGAAGAUAUCUUGAUUUGUGAUUUGAACCUUUUGUAUUUGUAUAGAAGCGACGUAUUGCUCAUGGUGCUUUGGGUUUUUUGGGUUAGAAAUUUGAACCUCACGCAUGAAGAGGUUAGAAAUUAAUUCCUCUUCCCUCUUCACGUAUAAAGUUGGGGAAAGUCCAUAUAUCACAUGGUGCUUUGGGUUCUCCUUACAAAUCCAAUGGAGUUGAUGAUUGAUAUGAGAUGAUACAGAUUGAUAGAAGGAGAUAUGGCUUAUACGGGACCGUAUUUUCCCUACUGUCACACAGUAGAUGACCGUGAGGGAUACUCUAAACUCUGCACUUGAUGAAGAAAUGUCUGUUGAU